GACAGAGGGUGCAAACGUUGUUCGGAAUUACUGGGCGUAAAGGGCGCGUAGGCGGCCUGUUAAGUCAGACGUGAAAUCCCCGGGCUCAACCCGGGAACUGCGUCUGAUACUGGCAGGCUUGAAUCCGGGAGAGGGAUGCGGAAUUCCAGGUGUAGCGGUGAAAUGCGUAGAUAUCUGGAGGAACACCGGUGGCGAAGGCGCAUCCUGGACCGGCAUUGACGCUGAGGCGCGAAAGCCAGGGGAGCAAACGGGG
rnacentral:rRNA from 1 species